rnacentral:snRNA from 1 species
AGCUUUGUACAGUGGCAGUAUUGUAGCCAAUGAAGUUUAUCUGAGGCAUGAUUAUUGCUAACUGAAGAAUCAGAAUCCAAACAGUAGUAAUUCAGUGUAAUACAUUCAUGU